UAACACGUGGAUAAUCUGCCCUGCACAGGGGGACAACAGCUAGAAAUGGCUGCUAAUACCGCAUAAGCCUACAGCCUCGCAUGAGGGAGCAGGAAAAGAAAUUCGGUGCAGGAUGAGUCCGCGUCUGAUUAGCUAGUUGGAGGGGUAAAAGCCCACCAAGGCAACGAUCAGUAGCCGGCCUGAGAGGGCGACCGGCCACAUUGGGACUGAGGCACGGCCCAAACUCCUACGGAAGGCAGCAG
rnacentral:rRNA from 1 species